rnacentral:rRNA from 1 species
GGCGGACGGGUGAGUAAUGUAUAGUUAAUCUGCCCUUUAGAGGGGGAUAACAGUUGGAAACGACUGCUAAUACCCCAUACUCCUUUUACAUUAAUUGUAAUUGGGAAACGUUUUUUCGCUAAAGGAUGAGACUAUAUGGUAUCAGGUAGUUGGUGGGGUAAGAGCCCACCAAGCCAAUGACGCCUAGCUGGUCUGAGAGGAUGAUCAGCCACACUGGAACUGAGACACGGUCCAG